CGCCAUCAUGGCUGCCUGCUGUAGGGAGGGGGAAAUGAGGCGGUGUCGAUGGGGGUGGGGAGCCUCAGGGAGUGUCUUUUUUUUUUCCAGAACUUUCCUCAUCUUUUUUCCAGCCCUGUAUUCUUUCUGACCCACGGACCGGCGUCCAGUUUAGCUUACUCAUUUAAGGACCUGAGGAAGAUGCUGCUCAAAAGGAGUAAAAAAAAUUCGGCUUAAUUACGGGAAGGCUUUGGAGCUACGAUUUCUGAUUGUUCUGUUUCCGAAGAGGCUCGUGAUGUAAUCAUUUUGAAGUCUUUGAAAAGCAUUAUAAUAAAGCCUUAUCGUUGCUGUUGUUUCUUUAAAUUUAGGAACCCUGCGUUGACCCGUUUAAUUUUAAAUAAGAACAAUGGUGCUUAAAAAAAAAGUCUGCUUUUGAGUAUAAGAUGCCCAAUUCUGGUGGAUCGCGUAUUGUGAUUACCUCAUUUUUACUGAAACUGUUUAAAAAA